CCAUCGGUGGUUCAGUGGUAGAAUGCUCGCCUGCCACGCGGGCUUCGAUUCCCGGCCGAUGCA
rnacentral:tRNA from 1 species